UUGAGAAAGAACGAGGCUGCGGAGCAUCUGAGAGUACAUUGAAAAGUCAGGGAAAAAAAAAAUGGCGUGGAGAGGCCAACUUUCUCGGAAUCUUAAGGAGCUUCGGAUUCUUUUGUGCCAAUCUUCGCCUUCAAGUUCAUCGGCUAGAGCAUUCGUCGAGAAAAAUUACAAGGAUCUCAAGACUCUGAACCCUAAACUCCCGAUCCUGAUCCGUGAGGCUAGUGGAAUCGAGCCUCAGUUAUGGGCUAGAUAUGGUAUGUGAAGCUCCACACUAUGCUUGCUUCUUUCAUUGUUUGCUUUCCAUUCACCAUUAUGAUUAUUACCUCAAAUAACUAAUAAAUUGUCACCUCCCUUUGGAAUCUCUUAUUGCAUUUUCUUCCAUUUGAUUAUUAAGGUAGCUCUCUUCCUGCCAACGCAUGUAAAAUCGAAUUUCUCGUUUUGUUUUGGGUUUUUAGCUGCCAAUUUAUCUAACAUUCCUUUGCCAUAAUGCGUUGAUGCUACGUGGGGAAGACAUUUAGAAGAAGUGAAUUUGGGUUUGGGUUCUGUACAAAUUUGUUUUUACAGUCAAGAGCAUAGAGGAGCAACGUAAUUUCCAAUUCAUGGAUGCAAGCUUAUCAAAGUUUGUGUGUGUGAGAGUGCUAGAGAGAGCACUUAGUUAGAAAGUUUAAACACAAUUUGGUGUACUAAGUUAAAGGGUUUGUGAGUGAUUGUGUGAUUAGAGAUUGUUUUCUUUUAAUAGUGGAUUGAUUUGUGGAGUAAGCAAAUUGCCAAACCACUUAAACUUAGUGUUCUAAUUAUUUAAUUGCGAGUAUAUUUUAACUGCAAGACCUUUUAUAAUCGAAUUGGGUGGAGUCAGGUGCACGCCAAAAUGCCUGCCUCAUCGCCUUCCCUAUGUCUACCUCAUGGUUUUAAAUAAUGGUUGUUAUGUACCGUAAUGGCUGAUAUUUAUAGGUUUUUUGGCCUAUCAUUACUGUGACACCUGUUAUUAAAGGGAAAAAAAAAUGCUAUAAUGGCCAUAAUGGCCUUUACAUACGGACAAUGGCCGUUAUUUACUGUUAAGCAACAGUAACGUUACAAGCAACAGUAACAUUACGCCACUUUUUUGGUCCAGAUGGGGCAACAACUAUUUCUCAUGCUUUGUUUCUAGUUUGGGGAGUAUUAAGCUGUUGCAUUUCACUUUCUUUGUCAACUUUCCAUAUAAAAUUUUCU
rnacentral:misc_RNA from 1 species